UACGUAGGGUGCAAGCGUUGUCCGGAAUUAUUGGGCGUAAAGAGCUCGUAGGCGGUCUGUCGCGUCGGCUGUGAAAACCCGGGGCUCAACCCCGGGCCUGCAGUCGAUACGGGCAGACUAGAGUGCGGUAGGGGAGACUGGAAUUCCUGGUGUAGCGGUGAAAUGCGCAGAUAUCAGGAGGAACACCGGUGGCGAAGGCGGGUCUCUGGCCGUAACUGACGCUGAGGAGCGAAAGCGUGGGGGAGCGAACAGG
rnacentral:rRNA from 1 species